rnacentral:rRNA from 1 species
AGCAGCCGCGGUAAUUCCAGCUCCAAUAGCGUAUAUUAAAGUUGUUGCAGUUAAAAAGCUCGUAGUUGAAUUUCGGGGCCAGUAGGUCGGUCGUGCCACUGGUAUGAACUGGUCUCACUGGUCCCUCCCUCUUGAAGAACCGUGAUGCCAUUAAUUUGGUGUUGCGGGGAAACAGGACUGUUACUUUGAAAAAAUUAGAGUGCUUAAAGCAGGCUUACGCUUGAAUACAUUAGCAUGGAAUAACGAAAUAGGACGAUCGAUUCUAUUUUGUUGGUUUCUAGGGUCGACGUAAUGAUUAAUAGGGAUAGUUGGGGGCAUUAGUAUUCAAUUGUCAGAGGUGAAAUUCUUGGAUUUAUUGAAGACUAACUACUGCGAAAGCAUUUGCCAAGGAUGUUUUCAUUAAUCAAGAACGAAAGUUAGGGGAUCGAAGACGAUCAGAUACCGUCGUAGUCUUAACCAUAAACUAUGCCGACUAGGGAUCGGAUGAUGUUAAUUUUUAAUGACUCAUUCGGCGCCUUAC